rnacentral:rRNA from 1 species
UACGGAGGGUGCAAGCGUUGUCCGGAAUCACUGGGCGUAAAGGGCGCGUAGGCGGCUCAUGAAGGCUGUGGUGAGAGUCCGGGGCUCAACCUCGGAUCGGCCGUGGCGACUCGUGGGCGUGGAGCACUUGUAGAGGCGGGUGGAAUUCCGGGUGUAGCGGUGGGAAUGCGUAGAGAUCCGGAAGAACACCAGUGGCGAAGGCGGCCCGCUGGGCAGUGGCUGACGCUGAGGCGCG